rnacentral:miRNA from 1 species
UGUGUAUGUAUGUAUAUACACACAUGUGUAUGUAUGUAUAUACACACGUGUAUGUAUGUAUAUACAUACAUG